rnacentral:rRNA from 1 species
GUCGAGCGGCAAGUUGAGUAGUAAUACUUAACCUAGAGCGGCGCACGGGUGCGUAACGCGUAUGCAACCUACCUUUUACUGGGGGAUAGCCCGGAGAAAUCUGGAUUAAUACCCCAUGGUAUCUACGAAUCGAAUGUUUUGUAGCUUAAAGAUUUAUCGGUAAAAGAUGGGCAUGCGUCUGAUUAGCUAGUUGGCGGGGUAACGGCCCACCAAGGCGACGAUCAGUAGGGGUUCUGAGAGGAAGGUCCCCCACACUGGCACUGAGAUACGGGCCAGACUCCUACGGGAGGCAGCAGUAGGGAAUAUUGGGCAAUGGUCGCAAGACUGACCCAGCCAUGCCGCGUGCAGGAAGACGGCCCUCUGGGUUGUAAACUGCUUUUAUCUGGGAAGAAAAAGUCCAUGCGUGGAAAAUUGCCGGUACCAGAUGAAUAAGCACCGGCUAACUCCGUGCCAGCAGCCGCGGUAAUACGGAGGCUGCAAGCGUUGUCCGGAUUUAUUGGGUUUAAAGGGUGCGUAGGCGGCUGAAUAAGUCAGCGGUGAAAGACUUCGGCUUAACCGGAGCAGUGCCGUUGAUACUGUUUGGCUUGAGUGUUGGAGGGGUACAUGGAAUUGAUGGUGUAGCGGUGAAAUGCAUAGAUACCAUCAGGAACACCGAUAGCGAAGGCAUUGUACUGGCCAACAACUGACGCUGAGGCACGAAAGUGUGGGGAUCGAACAGGAUUAGAUACCCUGGUAGUCCACACUGUAAACGAUGAUUACUCGCUGUUAUGGUGUAUACUGUA